rnacentral:rRNA from 1 species
UACAGAGGUCCCGAGCGUUGUUCGGAUUCAUUGGGCGUAAAGGGUGCGUAGGCGGCGCGGUAAGUCGGGUGUGAAAUCUCGGAGCUUAACUCCGAAACUGCAUUCGAUACUGCCGUGCUUGAGGACUGGAGAGGAGACUGGAAUUUACGGUGUAGCAGUGAAAUGCGUAGAGAUCGUAAGGAAGACCAGUGGCGAAGGCGGGUCUCUGGACAGUUCCUGACACUGAGGCACGAAGGCCAGGGGAGCAAACGGG